rnacentral:rRNA from 1 species
GACGAACGCUGGCGGCGUGCCUAAUACAUGCAAGUCGAGCGAAGUUUUUCUGGUGCUUGCACUAGAAAAACUUAGCGGCGAACGGGUGAGUAACACGUAAAGAACCUGCCUCAUAGACUGGGACAACUAUUGGAAACGAUAGCUAAUACCGGAUAACAGUAUUUCUCGCAUGAGAGAUAUUUAAAAGUUGGUUAUGCUAACACUAUGAGAUGGCUUUGCGGUGCAUUAGCUAGUUGGUGGGGUAAAGGCCCACCAAGGCGACGAUGCAUAGCCGACCUGAGAGGGUGAUCGGCCACACUGGGACUGAGACACGGCCCAGACUCCUACGGGAGGCAGCAGUAGGGAAUCUUCCGCAAUGGGCGAAAGCCUGACGGAGCAACGCCGCGUGAGUGAAGAAGGAUUUCGGUUCGUAAAGCUCUGUUGUUAGGGAAGAAUGGAUAUGUAGUAACUAUACAUGUAAGGGACGGUACCUAACCAGAAAGCCACGGCUAACUACGUG